CGUGUCUACGGGGCGCAGCAGUGGGGAAUAUUGCACAAUGGGGGAAACCCUGAUGCAGCGACGCCGCGUGAGUGAAGAAGUAUUUCGGUAUGUAAAGCUCUAUCAGCAGGGAAGAAAAUGACGGUACCUGACUAAGAAGCCCCGGCUAACUACGUGCCAGCAGCCGCGGUAAUACGUAGGGGGCAAGCGUUAUCCGGGUUUAAUGGGUGUAAAGGGAGCGUAGACGGCGCGGCAAGUCUGAAGUGAAAGGCAGGGGCUUAACCCCUGAACUGCUUUGGAAACUGCCAUGCUAGAGUGCUGGAGAG
rnacentral:rRNA from 1 species